AGCUUAGCCUAGUUUAGCUGAGGACAUUUUACAGCCAAAGGUCGUCUGUGAAGUUUUGACAUUUUGUUUGAAAAAGAUUAAUGAAAAAUAAAAAGUAGGUUCAUAAAAGAGAUUUAAAUACUGAUAGGUGCUGUCUGUCUCUCACCUGUCUGUCUCUCACCUGUCUGUCUCUCACCUGUCUGGCCCUCUCACCUGUUUGUCUCUCUGACCUGUCUAUCCCUCUCACCUGUCUGUCCCUCUCACCUGUCUGUCUCUCUCCUCACAUGUCUAUCCCUCUCACCUGUCUGUCUCUCCGACCUGUCUGUCCCUCUCACCUGUCUGUCCCUCUCCUCACAUGUCUAUCCCUCUCACCUGUCUGUCUCCGACCUGUCUGUCCCUCUCACCUGUCUGUCCCUCUCACCUGUCUGUCCCUCUCCUCACAUGUCUAUCCCUCUCACCUGUCUGUCUCUCCGACCUAUCUGUCCCUCUCACCUGUCUAUCUCUCACCUGUCUGUCUCUCCGACCUGUCUGUCCCUCUCACCUGUCUGUCCCUCUCCUCACAUGUCUAUCCCUCUGACCUAUCUGUCCCUCUCACCUGUCUGUCUCUCACCUGUCUGUUCCUCUCUUCACCUGUCUCUCUCUCUGACCUGUCUGUCUCUCACCUGUCUGUUCCUCUCCUCACCUGUCUGUCUCUGACCUGUCUCUCUCUCUGACCUGUCUGUCUCUCACCUGUCUGUCCCUCUCACCUGUUUGUCUCUCUGACCUGUCUCUCCCUCUGACCUGUCUGUCCCUCUCCUCACGUGUCUAUUCCUCUCACCUGUCUGUCUCUCACCUGUCUGUUCCUCUCCUCACCUGUCUGUCUCUGACCUGUCUCUCUCUCCGAUCUGUCUGUCCCUCUCACCUGUCUGUCCCUCUCCUCACAUGUCUAUCCCUCUCACCUGUCUGUCUCUCCGACCUGUCUGUCCCUCUCACCUGUCUGUUCCUCUCCUCACCUGUCUGUCUCUGACCUGUCUCUCUCUCUGACCUGUCUGUCCCUCUCACCUGUCUCUCUCUCUCACCUGUCUGUUCCUCUCUUCACCUGUCUCUCUCUCUGACCUGUCUGUCCCUCUCACCUGUCUCUCUCUCUCACCUGUCUGUUCCUCUCUUCACCUGUCUCUCUCUCUGACCUGUCUGUCCCUCUCACCUGUCUCUCUCUCUCACCUGUCUGUUCCUCUCUUCACCUGUCUCUCUCUCUGACCUGUCUGUCUCUCUGACCUGUCUGUUCCUCUCCUCACCUGUCUGUCUCAGACCUGUCUCUCUCUCACUCUGACCUGUCUGUCUCUCACCUGUCUGUUCCUCUCCUCACCUGUCUGUCUCUGACCUGGAGACAGACAGACUGACAGACAGACUGACAGACAGACAGACAGACAGGGAGACAGGAGGACAGACAGACAGACAGGAGGACAGACAGACAGACAGACAGAGGGACAGACAGGGAGACAGACAGACUGACAGACAGACAGACAGACAGACAGACAGACAGGGAGACAGACAGACUGACAGACAGACAGACAGGGAGACAGACAGACUGACAGACAGAGGGACAGACAGACAGGAGGACAGACAGACAGACAGACAGACAGACAGACAGACAGACAGAGGGACAGACAGACAGGGAGACAGACGGACAGACAGGGAGACAGACAGACAGACAGACAGACAGACAGACAGACAGGGAGACAGACAGGGAGACAGAUGGGUCCUUUAACUCUGAACGUGUUUCUUCCAUCAGAAGUUUUUUGAACUGUAGAAUUGUUAAAAUGAAUUUAUAAUAUUAAUGAAUUAUUGCAGAAUGUUCCUGUUAUUUUAUAAACACUGUGAAAUGUUUCACACAUUAACGUUCAUCAGCAUGAAGCAGAACAUCACCGUCCAAUCAGCUGAGGCCUCUCACCGUCCAAUCAGCUGAGGCCUCUCACCGUCCAAUCAGCUGUCAUGGCUCUGACUGCAUCAGUAAUAAUAAUAAAGCACAUGAAGUUC